UACGAAGGGGGCUAGCGUUGCUCGGAAUUACUGGGCGUAAAGCGCACGUAGGCGGCUUUGUAAGUUAGAGGUGAAAGCCCAGGGCUCAACCCUGGAAUUGCCUUUAAGACUGCAUCGCUUGAACAUCGGAGAGGUAAGUGGAAUUCCGAGUGUAGAGGUGAAAUUCGUAGAUAUUCGGAAGAACACCAGUGGCGAAGGCGACUUACUGGACGAUUGUUGACGCUGAGGUGACGAAAGCGUGGGGAGCAAACAGG
rnacentral:rRNA from 1 species